GACGAACGCUGGCGGCGUGCCUAAUACAUGCAAGUCGACCUUAGUGGCGAACGGGUGAGUAACACGUGGGUAACCUACCCAUCAGAGGGGGAUAACACUUGGAAACAGGUGCUAAUACCGUAUACUGAUGGAUGAACCCGCGGUGCAUUAGCUAGUUGGUGAGGUAACGGCUCACCAAGGCCACGAUGCAUAGCCGACCUGAGAGGGUGAUCGGCCACAUUGGGACUGAGACACGGUCCAGACUCCUACGGGAGGCAGCAGUAGGGAAUAUUGGACAAUGGGCGAAAGCCUGAUCCAGCCAUGCCGCGUGUGUGAAGAAGGUUUUCGGAUUGUAAAGCACUUUUAGUAGGGAGGCGUUACCAACAGAAUAAGCACCGGCUAACUUCGUGCCAGCAGCCGCGGUAAUUC
rnacentral:rRNA from 1 species